GGCGCAGGCGGCUAAGUCAGUCCGAAGUGGAAUCCCGGGGCUCAACCCCGGAAUGGCUUUGGAUACUGCUUAGCUUGAGUACGUGAGAGGAGAGUGGAAUUCCUGGUGUAGCGGUGAAAUGCGUAGAUAUCAGGAGGAACACCCAUGGCGAAAGCAACUCUCUGGCACGUCACUGACGCUGAGGCCCGAAAGCGUGGGGAGCGAACA
rnacentral:rRNA from 1 species